UGAGGAAUAUUGGUCAAUGGACGCAAGUCUGACCCAGCCAAGUCGCGUGCAGGAUGACGGCCCUAUUGGUUGUAAACUGCUUUUAUAUGGGGAUAAAGUGGGGAACGUGUUCCCUUUUGCAGGUACCAUAUGAAUAAGGACCGGCUAAUUCCGUGCCAGCAGCCGCGGUAAUACGGAAGGUUCGGGCGUUAUCCGGAUUUAUUGGGUUUAAAGGGAGCGUAGGCCGUUUGGUAAGCGUGUUGUGAAAUGUAGGAGCUCAACUUCUAGAUUGCAGCGCGAACUGUCAGACUUGAGUGCGCACAACGUAGGCGGAAUUCAUGGUGUAGCGGUGAAAUGCUUAGAUAUCAUGAAGAACUCCGAUUGCGAAGGCAGCUUACGGGAGCGCAACUGACGCUGAAGCUCGAAGGUGCGGGUAUCGAACAGG
rnacentral:rRNA from 1 species